GGAGGAUCAUUAUCGUAGGGCUUCGGCCCUGUCGAGAUAGAACCCUUGCCUUUUUGAGUACCUUUCGUUUCCUCGGCAGGCUCGCCUGCCAAUGGGGACCACAAAAAACACUUUGCAGUACCUGUAACAGUCUGAACAAACAAACAAAAAUUAAAACUUUCAACAACGGAUCUCUUGGUUCUGGCAUCGAUGAAGAACGCAGCGAAAUGCGAUAAGUAGUGUGAAUUGCAGAAUUCAGUGAAUCAUCGAAUCUUUGAACGCACAUUGCGCCCUUUGGUAUUCCUUAGGGCAUGCCUGUUCGAGCGUCAUUUAAACCUUCAAGCUAAGCUUGGUGUUGGGUGACUGUCCGCUCCACGGCGGACUCGCCUCAAAAUUAUUGGCGGCCGGUACAUUGGCUUCGAGCGCAGCAGAAACGCGAACUCGGGCCCGUCGUAUUGGCUCCCAGAAGCUAUCUUCACAAUUUUGACCUCGGAUCAGGUAGGGAUACCCGCUGAACUUAAGCAUAUCAAUAAGCGGAGGA
rnacentral:rRNA from 1 species